AAAUGCUUCCUGUCCCUGGCAUUUCCUUAAUCAUAUGCAGACAUGGCUGGAUGUUCUUUGCUAGGCUGCUGAGUCAGAAGCCUGGACGGGCCAGCUUCAGUCUUAAUGAACUGGCUCAGGAAGGAAGUGCUAACAGAGAUGGGUGCACUGUGCAGUCAGUAGUGGGAGCUGAUGCCGGCUAGAAGAACUGAGCCUUGUGAGAGGCAGUCUGAUUCCUGGGAAAGAGCAUUGGCUGGAAGUCUGGAGGCCUGGGCUAGUCUCUGCUCUGCCACUAACUUGCUGCAUGACCCUGGUAAAGGUUUACUUCAAUUAAAAGUUUAUCAAGGGACCAGCCCAGUGGUGCAGCGGUUAAGUGCGCACGUUCCGUUUCUCAGCGGCCCAGGGUUUGACAGUUUGGAUCCUGGGUGCGGACAUGGCACCGCUUGGCAUGCCAUGCUGUGCAUCCAGCUCAGCCCUGGCCCACCAUAGGCACUCAGUGAAUGUUGAUUUGAGCAAAAGACACGAUUGAAAGAAAUGUCUCCUGAAAUUGCUUCUUACAAAUCUAGCCAACAAGUGCAGCAUCCUGGAUGGAGGCACCAGAGAUGACAUCAUCUCUGGCUUUCUGCUGCAGACCCACAUGGAGAAUCCCACAUGGUGCAACCAAAAUCCUCAAGGCCAGAUAGGUCCUUUCAUUGGAAGCCCUAAAAUGCAAUGCCUGGCUUUGAAGAGGGUGUAUGACACAAAUGAUUUACUAUGCAUUGAUCUGACUAAUGGAAAAUAAACAAUAACUUUUAAAUUAUCAUCCUUUGAGUGUGAUGUGUUUAGGUCACAUGUGAUGUGAUUGGUCAAUGUUAAAAAAUAUAUGUGAUUUUUAGCCUUCCAGAUCCCACGGUAAUGUCUGAAAAGAAACUUUUAAAAUUGAAUAAGUAUAGGGUUAUUUGUUGCAGCAUUGUUUGAUACCAUAUGACUGGAAACAACCUAAAUGUUCAUCAAUAGGCGACUAGUUAAAUAAAUUAUAGUAUUUCAUUCAUACAAUGGAAUACUAUGCGUUUGUAACAAAAAAAGAAUAAAGAAGUACUUUGCUGACAUGGAAUAACCUCCAAGAUAUAUUGUUAAAGGAAAAAACAAAGAUGCAGAAUAGCGUCUUUUAUACUACUGUGUGUAAAAAAGGGUGAAAGAGAAUAUCUAUGUAUUUGCUUGAAUACAC
rnacentral:lncRNA from 1 species